UCCUGUUCUGAAGGGGGGGAAGUCCUGAAUGGCCCGAGUCCACCUCCGCAUUGCAGAGUCACCAGGUGGCUUCUUUACACCACUGCUCAGUGCCCUGCUAGUGACUCGCAAACACCUAUAAUCUUCUAGCUCAGCCCAGGAUACAAACAGUGCGCGGGAAAACCAGGGCUACACUCCUCAUUAUAUAUAAUGUACCCCAAUGUGUGCUGCCUGGCCCCACUCCUGCUGGGGACUUGUGCCUUUUGCCUCCUGCCUACCCCGUCACAUGACGCUUGGAGGUAGGGGUAACAGAUGCUGCUUAGCUCAGGCUUUUACCAACUGCACAGCGAGGCCCCCGUUCCGGCAGAUUCUACCGGGGACUGUCCCCCUUCACCGCGGACACAAGCCAAGUAACUCCCUAAAGCAACAGCAACGGCCAGGAUGGAGGGUGAGCAAUAAGCGCUACGGGAACAAGCUAUGUGGGUACUACAGGUGCCGAGGUCAGCGUCAUGGAACACAAGUCUGCUUUUGUUGAAUUAAUGUGAUAUCAAAAGUAAGCAAGCUGCAUGGGAAUGGUGCAUAAACAUACUAUUUCAAAUAAUUGAAGACAUUUCCUUGAAACAAAUAAAAAUGGGAGCACAAAUAAUUAUCUGAAAAUGAUGUAAUACUCUCUUUGGCUGCUUUUUGACAAAUCUGGACAGUUCUGAUUAUAGCCUUAAGGUUCUGACUUUUCUGUCAAAAUCUGACACAUUGAUAAUACAUUUCCUUAAGCACUAAAAUGACUGCUGAUGAAAGCUUUGUUCUGUGAGUAAUAUUAGUGUACCCAAAGGAUUACGCUUGGCAUUGUGUUUGCUAAAAUAUGAAAAUAGUGACUCUGGUAUUUGUAUUGAACAAGAUAUAGCUAAAUAAAAUACAUACAUCAAA